GAUGCAUUAUAAGAAGUAGGUUCAUAUGAGGUGUUUCAUUGUUGUUUGGCAAAGCUAAUAUGCAGUGUCAGAUGAUCUGCAAAGUGAACAUGAAAAGAACCCGAAAGCCGACAGAAUAGGAUCAUUUUUCUUUUACCUUUGACCACCAGAUGCUGAUAAUGCCCAGCUUCAUUUCCAGAGCACAGAUCGAUCUGAUGCAGUUUAUGGUGUAAUCAGAGUCUGCCACAGUGCAAGGAGCUUAGCUUCAAACUGAGUGACAUCCAUCCAGAUGGUGAGUCAUGAAUUGUAGUUUUGUACUGGCAGGAGGGAGCGACUGUAAAGCAAGCAAACUGUAAUCUUUCACAGUUUAAUGUCGCUGAUCCAAUCACUGGCAUCACCAUAAGUAAACAGAGCUGAAGGAUUUAUUGUGAUAGCUUUGGCACUCUCUCCGCCGCUGCAAGGCAGGAACACAAAUUAAAAGUCUUUCAGGUUGUUUCUUGUCGAACGCUCUAAAGUUGCCAAGAUAAAUUUUAUACAGCAGGCACUUUCUUUCCAGUUUCACUUUCAAAACCACAGAUGAAUUACACCUGACUGAGAUCAGAUUACAAAGACAACUUUGAAACAAAGUAGCUCCAUAGUUAUCUGUAGAAGUCCUCAAGAGAGCAUGCAGUAAGCUUCUCUGUUCAUGUUUAAUUUUAAGUUUGAAGAAAAAAGAUGUUUAAAAAGUUUGUAAUUGGCAAAUACACAAUAUUUGAAUCAGACGGCAGCUCAAUUUCAAACGAAACAGCUGCUUCUGUGGUUUCCUUCUCCCAAACCAAGAGCUGUUAUGAUGACUUUCUAAUGAAACAGGUGAUCACAAGAGGACACAUGUGGUGUAUCCACAUUAAAAUAAAUGAACUUUCUGUUUAACUUUAAAAUGCGUUGCUGUAGCUCAGCGUUUUGUGUUGGAUAGUAGAAAGAAAUAGAGGACUGAUGAUCACAUGUACUUCAUAAUGUGCCACAGUUACAUUUAAAUGACUGCAAAUGACCGAUUUAUCCUUCUUCAGCCUCUGACUCUGUCUUGUUUUUCUAUUUUCUUAACAAAAACUGUAUACUGUUUUAACCAGCUCGAGUGUAUACAUCAUAGUGUGCUGAAAUAAACUAUGGUAGCUGAAGUUCAUACUUAAUGAUGGGGUGCAGCUGAGGCUGAAAACUGGUCUUAAUGUCACUGAGUGUAUUGAAAUACAGUGAGGAGAGAUGAUAAUUAUAUGAGAGCUUUUUUUUCUCUCAUUCUCAUAUUUACAGUGUCAAAGAAAUGAAAUUAAAGUGCAGUUAACUUUCUUGUGCAUUUAGUCCCAGAAAUGCUUUGAUUGAUUUCAGCAUCUCGAGUCACACAAGUCCAAGGUACUCGAGUGAACCUGGAUUAUCUGUCCUAGUCCAGUCUAGAAGUUUUAGAGUCAGCUACAAAAUCCUAACAAGUAUCAUGUUUAUGUUGACUAUGUGUUUUGCAUUAGACCUGACUCUUGUUUUAAUCAAUGUGCUAUUCUGCUUGACAUCAGUGCAAUAAACUGAUAACAGCAAAUUUAAGAAAAACUGAAAUAUACGAGAACAUUUUGCUCUAACAAAGUUAAGCUAAAAAUCUGAUCACUGUGUGUCUUCUGCUUUGAAUUUAUUGCCGUUUUGUCUUUUAUUAGAUUCAAUAACUUCAGUUUGAAAAUGAACAUAACUGCUUGACUUCUGCAAGACUUUGAGUCUACUUUACUUUCCCUCUCUUACGUUUGAUCUUUUCCGAUCUCUCUGAGUUAAUAUUUUCCUGUUUGCCUGUAGAUUUUCCGAAGCCAAAGCCCUUGAAGGCAAAAAGAUAAAGACGUACUCGCUGAGGUGUGACAGCGUCUAGCAGCCAAACACAGAGUCAUGUUGUUAACAAAGGGGAUGACAGCGAAACCUUGUGCAUAUUUAUUUAAUGUUACAGCACAGACACACGGGGAGAUAAGAGUCACCGCUGCCAGAGCACACUCUGACUGCGACUGAUGUGAAGCGUGUCUUUAUCUCUGUUAACUCUGCCCCUGAGGAGUCAAAAACAGGUGUUCUUUGUAAUGUCUGCAUUAGCCGAGCAGAUGCUCUCUUUAAAUUGUGAAAGUCAGAAACAUACUGAGUUGCUGCUUUUAAGUUUGAAAGAGAUAACUUUCAAAUUUUACCCUAAAGAAACUCAGACAGAUAUUCCCUGGCGUCGUUCUCAGGUGUGCAAACACAUCCUUUUACUCUGUUUUUCUAUUUAAACUUUACUUCAUCACUUAGAUUUAGUUUAGUGAUUCUCAGGCUUUUUUUUCUCUUCAAAGCUAGCUUUUUUCUCUCUAUCUUUCAAGCUAGUUUUUUUUUCCAACCUAAGAAAUAAAACAAAGAUGAACUAAAUUCAUAAUUGGAAUUAAAAAUAUCUGAAAUUGCAUUAGUUGCACACUUAGGGUACUCAUUUUGUUGACAGUGGACGGAAAGCACAACAUAACGCCAACGAACAAAACAAAAGUUUAGCUUUUAACUUUAAAAUUACAAACUAUUGAGAAUUAUACCUGUGAAUGAAUCCAGUUAUGUUUUUUUCAAGUGAGCCAUAUGUUUAGUAUUUUAUGACACCGAUUUGAUCAUUGUUUGAACCUGCUGUCUUAACCUCAUCACAUCAAAAUCAAAUUUUAUUUAUAUAGCGCCCAUUCACAACAUUCGUCAUCCAAAGACGCUUUUCAAAGAACAAGAGCAGGUCUAGACCACGCUCAUUGUUUGAUGAAUUAUCAAGAACCAACCUGAGAUGGGUUUUGGCCCAUCUCAUCGAACAUGAGUAGCAUGUUUAUAGACUAUAAGUCCUUCUUGACAUUAUCUUAUCAUUUGAAAGUUGGGCUGAAAAUCUAACAAGAUCUCAACUUCUCUCCCUUUUUAUCCUCCUGAUAGCUGUAACCAUGGUGACAAAGCUGAUCGAUUGCAUGUCUUUGGAUUCUGAAUCAGCCGGCCCAAUAUGUAACAGCAGAUGGUAACCAGAGAGAGAGGAAAGCCGAGGCAGGAGAGGAGAAGAAAGAUAAUAACACAAAAUGAAAUAUAGAUUUAUCUUGACAUAGAGGUUAAAUUAGACAACAUAAAGGAGAUGCAUUUAUCUGAUUGUAGGCGUGAGUAAACAAUUUGCUCAUAUAUGUUCAUUAACAAACAGUUGCACAUAUGUAUGCAUGAGCAGAUGAGGAGGAGGAGGAGGUGAAAGUCAGGUUUGUGGCUCUGGCCUUUAAACAGAUGGUAUUCGAGCUGAAACAGACGAGGAGUCAGACCCAGGAGACUCAGUGUGAGAAAAUGAAGGAGAGAUAUCACAAGAAAGAUGAAUGUAACAGAGAGCACCAAGCCUGAAAAGUCUCUUAUUGCUUAUUGUGUGUCUAAAAGGGGAUCUGCC